AGUGAACGCUGGCGGUAGGCCUAACACAUGCAAGUCGAACGGCAGCACAGUAAGAGCUUGCUCUUACGGGUGGCGAGUGGCGGAAGGGUGAGGAAUAUAUCGGAAUCUACACUUUCGUGGGGGAUAACGUAGGGAAAGUUAAGCUAAUACCGCAUACGCUCUACGGGUGAAAGCAGGGGAUCUUCGGACCUUGUGCGAUUGAAUGCGCGGAUGUCGGAUUAGCUAGUUGGCGGGGUAAAGGCCCACCAAGGCGACGAUCCGUAGCUGGUCUGAGUGGAUGAUCGGCCACACUGGAACUGAGACACGGACCAGACUCCUACGAGAGGCAGCAGUGGGGAAUAUGAGACAAUGGUCGCAAGCCUGAUCCAGCCAGACCGCGUGGGUGAAGAAGGCCUUCGGGUUGUAAAGCCCGUUUGUUGGGAAAGAAAAGCAGCAGGUUAAUACCCCGCUGUUCUGACGGUACCCAAAGAAUAAGCACCGGCUAACUUCGUG
rnacentral:rRNA from 1 species